AUGUCUUGCUCUGCUUUAAUACAUAUGAUCCUAGUGUGGAGUGCUCGGCCUCUGCAUACUGUAUUCUUAAUUUCCUUUUCAUUAGCUGCUUGUGGAGGUUGUAGUAGUGUUUCAGUCCAGUGUUCCCCAUUGUAUCGUUCUGACCGCUGUAAUUUGGUUGUUUGCUGUAACUCCUGGCCGGUUGAUGGCUUUGUUAAUUCAAAACCGGGCUCUUUCGCGAGCCUUCGUUCUAAAAAAAAACUAGUGCGUAGCGACACAAAGCAGCCGCCGGCCGCUCCAUUCCCUCAACAAACAAACAGGAAAACAAAAGCAGCGGCCGGCUCGAUGGCAGAAGAGGAUUGGAUUCCAAUCGGGAUGGAACAGGAAGCCGCAGACAGAAGAGGAACUUCUAGUCGAGAUGCAACAGGAUGUGUUCCCGUUCCAGCCGCGGACAGCAGAGGAUUUUCUGAUGGAGCUGCAACAAGCGUUCGAGCAGCGGGCAGAAGAGGAUUUUCCAAUCGUGAAGCAACAGGACGAGCGCCCAUUCGAGUUCGAGCUCAUGCCGAUGGAGGAGCUGCCGGAGCUGCUGCCGCAGGACCAGUUCGAUUCUUACCUGGAGCACAUGAUGGAGGGGCUACCCCAGGAUGUUAUCGACAGUUUGCAGCAGGAAUUCCCAGCGCUCUUCCGCCAGGCCGCGGUGGAAAUUCCCCCGUGUCAGCGGGCGGAUCCCGCGGAGGAGCCAUGCCCGCUAAUCUAGGGUUCUUGUAA
rnacentral:rRNA from 1 species